GACGAACGCUGGCGGCGUGCUUAACACAUGCAAGUCGAGCGGGUAAGGCCCUUUCGGGGGUACACGAGCGGCGAACGGGUGAGUAACACGUGGGUGACCUGCCCUCAGCUCUGGGAUAAGCCUGGGAAACCGGGUCUAAUACCGGAUAUGACUCCAUGACGCAUGUUGUGGGGUGGAAAGCCUUGUGCGGCUGAGGAUGGGCCCGCGGCCUAUCAGCUUGUUGGUGGGGUGAUGGCCUACCAAGGCGACGACGGGUAGCCGGCCUGAGAGGGCGACCGGCCACACUGGGACUGAGACACGGCCCAGACUCCUACGGGAGGCAGCAGUGGGGAAUCUUGGACAAUGGGGGCAACCCUGAUCCAGCGAUGCCGCGUGAGUGAAGAAGGCCUCGGUCGUAAG
rnacentral:rRNA from 1 species